rnacentral:rRNA from 1 species
AACUUUCAGCAACGGAUCUCUUGGCUCUUGCAUCGAUGAAGAACGCAGCGAAAUGCGAUACGUAAUGUGAAUUGCAGAAUUCAGUGAAUCAUCGAAUCUUUGAACGCACCUUGCACUUUUUGGUAUUCCGAAGAGUAUGUCUGUUUGAGUG